GUGCGCGCGCGCACACACACACACGCACACACGCUGCAGUGAGUGCAGCUGUGGUUAUGAGCCUCAGUAAGCGCGCUAACCAAACCGAAGUUGGUGGAAACAAGCUACGGGACUUAAGUACUUAUUGGGAGAACAGAGGCAAAACGAAGCAACAAACUGUGCCAAUAACACAAGGGAGGCGGGAGAAAGCACCUGCUUUUAGGAAAUGUUCUCGGGUCAAGGGAAUUAAAACAAGCGAGACUGUGGGACUAAGUUAGCUACUGCAAUUCUCGAGUUAGCAUUGAUGCUAGCUAGCCUUGCUAGUGACAACCAACCACCUAGCUUAACAGCGCGAUUGUGAGAAUUCAUUUUCCAAGAUGGUUGUCGAAAAAAUGAAGGAAUACAUCGAUAAUUUACAUGUAAUAUGCUGGUUGCCCCCAAAAUUUAUCGUGGUGGAUUCUUCUGCAGAAGGAAAGGCACAGAACAAACACCAAGGCAGGGGUGCACCAGCCGGUGAGAAGUCAGUCCACCUUUUUCCUGUCCUGGCAUCUCAAGGACGCCCGAGGGAGCCAGACGUCAGCGUCACCGCAGCCAUCAACCACCGUCACCAUCAUCGACACUAACAUCAUCCUCGACGUGUGGAAGUCUCUCGGUGAAUGCAGCCCAAAUGAGUCAGAACGCUCCCAGGGGUCGUCGUCGUCACGGAGAUCAGGAUUACAGACUGCAGGUCUCUCGCUGGAGCAGUAGCCGCUGAUACAGCCAAUUACAAACCAGGUCUUGCAGAAAGGAUGGAAUUGGAGAGGAACAUCAAACGACAGCAGACCUGCCAGACCUUUAAUUGUUCCUCUGCUGUGGCCUGAGCCUACAAUUGGCUCCACCAUUCAGAAAUAAUGAGACUGCAGUGCCAAGCCUGCGGUCAGCUCCACCACCAAUCAGGAGUGACCCAGUGACACAAGAGUCAGUCCCGGAUGUGAUGGUUCAAUCCAAGAUGGCAGAGCGCCAGCGAAACAUGUUCUGAUUGUUUUGUUAAUGAUGGAUGAUUGAACUGUGGCAGUAAAACACAAAACACCAGAAAUAAAUCAAUUCAUCACAGACAAAUGCUGAAAAUGACUAAUUCAGUGAGAUUUUACGGGCAUCCGAUUUGCAUGAGUGUGUGCUGGGACAACAAGACUUUCCUGGUCCCUGAGUCAGUAUAUCACCCACUACAGAACGUAGCCAACUUGGAUGAGGACACUGUUGGAUGAGAAAUAAAGAGAAAGGAAACAAAUGAGACAUUCACUUUACAAAAGCAAGUGAUCAGUGAGCGAUGAGGUUUAGGCUCUAGAGACGUUUGACCCUCCAAAAGAAGAGGAUAAUGGAUAAAAUAACAACAGAAAUGAUACACUCCAGGAAUACUAUCUGACCCAAUACUGAAAAAAACAAGCUACGCUGUUGGAGAUUUCCUUUCAUGUUCCUUUGUCAUUGAUUAAACGUGGUGCAUCAUUUAAUAAAUCUUCUUUUAAAUAUUAUGGAAUCAGCAUGGUAAUUGUGACCUUUUGUGAUGAAAUGCGGGUCUCUAGAGUGAGUGUGUGUUCAUGGCGUUCGGCCACUAAUGAUUCAUUUUUUCAGUAAAACUCACAUGUAAUUACCAAUGUGCCAAGGUGUAAAACAUAAAACAGACACCCUGUUUUCUUGUUGCUGGCUUUGCUGUCCUGUUGGCUUGACUUUUGUGGGAAAGAUUAGUGCAUGGAUGUAUUCCUCACUAUAAUUACACAUAUGAAAGCAGGGGUGUUAAAAUUAAAAAGAAGUGACAUUUAUGAAAGGAGUAAUCAACCCUUUUGACCUGCAACCACUGAAAAUAAACAGAUGUUCAUUCACAGUCGAACCACAAUCUAAAAAUGAGCUGGGAAUGUCAAAUAAUCACUGAGCCAAAAGACUCAACAUUAACACUCACAACUGUCAACUAUCACCAUAUAUUCUAACCAUGCUAUGUCACAGGGCAGUGCAGAAAACAUUUAUUAAAGGGCAAUAAUGAAUAAGCUUUGCU